UUUCAGAUUAAUAAUAUACUCUUUUCUCUCCUUCUCUCACACCGUGCUUCAUCUCUUCUCUGUUUCUUCAUACCUUGCUGUUUUCUUUCUCUUUGAUCUCUGUAAAUGUUGCAAUUACAUCAAAGCACUCUUUUGAUUUAUCUCUGUUAUGGUAUCAGAGCUCUUCUUUGAGAAGAGCUCUGCUGCGUGCACUCUGUCUUCGUUCUCUCAAGAUUCUCUUCUUUUCCUUUUUUUCACGUUUUGUGCAUUCACCCUGCUUUGCAUCUUCUUGAUUCUUUCUAACGAUUGUUUGAUUGUUUUAUUUUUACAGUUCGUAUUUUUUGCACGCAAAUGGCUGACGAGAAUAGUGACAGGAGCGAAAGCCCUAAUUCUAAUCAGAACAAGAAUCCCUUACAAGGCGAGAAUUCUAUUCAUAGUUUCUUAUACUUGCAUCCCAGUGAAAAUCCUGCUACACCCCUUGUGUCACCCAUUCUUGAUUCCACAAAUUACCACUC
rnacentral:lncRNA from 1 species